UGUAUCGGUUGUCACGCCAGUGGCACUGCCGAGUAGCUAAGUGCGGAAGAGAUAACCGCUGAAAGCAUCUAAGCGGGAAACUCGUCUCAAGAUUAGUCUUGCCGGGGCCUCGAGCCCCCUAAAGAGUCGUUCGAGACCAGGACGUUGAUAGGCCGGGUGUGGAAGCGCAGUAAUGCGUUAAGCUAACCGGUACUAAUUGCUCGUGCGGCUUGACCCU
rnacentral:rRNA from 1 species